rnacentral:pre_miRNA from 1 species
AUGGAGCAUUAGAAGAUUUCAACUUGUAGGAUUAAAGAAUUUGAAGACUUCAACUUGCAGACAUGGAGCAUUUGAAAUCUUCAACU